UACGAAGGGGGCUAGCGUUGUUCGGAAUCACUGGGCGUAAAGCGCACGUAGGCGGAUCUUUAAGUCAGGGGUGAAAUCCCGAGGCUCAACCUCGGAACUGCCUUUGAUACUGGGGAUCUCGAGUCCGGGAGAGGUGAGUGGAACUGCGAGUGUAGAGGUGAAAUUCGUAGAUAUUCGCAAGAACACCAGUGGCGAAGGCGGCUCACUGGCCCGGAACUGACGCUGAGACGCGAAAGCGUGGGGAGCAAACAGG
rnacentral:rRNA from 1 species